CCUACGGGCGGCAGCAGUAGGGAAUAUUGCUCAAUGGGGGAAACCCUGAAGCAGCAACGCCGCGUGGCGGAUGAAGGUUUUCGGAUUGUAAACUCCUUUUGUUAGAGAAGAUAAUGACGGUAUCUAACGAAUAAGCACCGGCUAACUCCGUGCCAGCAGCCGCGGUAAUACGGAGGGUGCAAGCGUUACUCGGAAUCACUGGGCGGAAAGAGCGCGUAGGCGGGAUAGCAAGUCAGAUGUGAAAUCCUAUGGCUUAACCAUAGAACUGCAUUUGAAACUGUUAUUCUAGAGUAUGGGAGAGGUAGGUGGAAUUCUUGGUGGAGGGGUAAAAGCCGAAGAGAUCAAGAGGAAUACUCAUGGCGAAGGCGACCUGCUAGAACAUACCUGACGCUGAUGCGCGAAAGCGUGGGGAGAAAACAGGAUUAGAUACCCGGGUAGUC
rnacentral:rRNA from 1 species